rnacentral:rRNA from 1 species
GUUCGUUGAAGACCACAACGUUGAUAGGUCGGGUGUGGAAGCGCAGUAAUGCGUUAAGCUAACCGAUACUAAUUGACCGUGAGGCUUGAUCCU